rnacentral:tRNA from 2 species
GGGUGUGCGCCGAAGCGAGAGAGUCGGGUCGGUUUGUAAAACCGAAGCCUUCGGGCUGAGCAGGUGCAAAUCCUGCCACACUCACCA